rnacentral:tRNA from 1 species
GGGGAUUUAGCUCAGUGGUAGAGCACUUGCCUAGCAAGCACAAGGCCCUGGGUUCGGUCCUCAGCCCCC